rnacentral:lncRNA from 1 species
UAUUUAUAGUGGUGAGUGAGUGCACUGUGGUGGGUUAGUGGGAAAGGGCUGCUUUGGGUCUGGUCAACGGUCAAGUCCUUCUAAAAUAAGCCACCCACAUCAUGUAUGGGUCAUUGGUCUAAUAAGGCAAUUUCAGGGAAGGAUAGUGGAAAGUUAUAUAACCUUUUUUUCUUUGUUCUUUUUUUUCUUGGGAAGAAAUUAUCAAGUCAUAUUAUUUAGUUGUUCGAAAAUUUUUAAAUC